rnacentral:rRNA from 1 species
GAAUUCGCCCUUAGAGUUUGAUCAUGGCUCAGAACGAACGCUGGCGGCAGGCCUAACACAUGCAAGUCGAGCGAGACCUUCGGGUUUAGCGGCGGACGGGUGAGUAACGCGUGGGAACGUGCCCUUUUCUGCGGGAUAGCCACUGGAAACGGUGAGUAAUACCGCAUACGCCCUUCGGGGGAAAGAUUUAUCGGAGAAGGAUCGGCCCGCGUCUGAUUAGGUAGUUGGUGGGGUAAUGGCCUACCAAGCCUACGAUCAGUAGCUGGUUUUAGAGGAUGAUCAGCCACACUGGGACUGAGACACGGCCCAGACUCCUACGGGAGGCAGCAGUGGGGAAUCUUAGACAAUGGGCGCAAGCCUGAUCUAGCCAUGCCGCGUGAGUGAUGAAGGCCUUAGGGUCGUAAAGCUCUUUCGCCAGGGAUGAUAAUGACAGUACCUGGUAAAGAAACCCCGGCUAACUCCGUGCCAGCAGCCGCGGUAAUACGGAGGGGGUUAGCGUUGUUCGGAAUUACUGGGCGUAAAGCGCGCGUAGGCGGAUUGGAAAGUUGGGGGUGAAAUCCCGGGGCUCAACCCCGGAACGGCCUCC